rnacentral:rRNA from 1 species
AACGAACGCUGGCGGCAUGCCUAACACAUGCAAGUCGAACGAGACCUUCGGGUCUAGUGGCGCACGGGUGCGUAACGCGUGGGAACCUGCCCUUAGGUUCGGAAUAACUCCCCGAAAGGGGUGCUAAUACCGGAUAAUGUCUUCGGACCAAAGAUUUAUCGCCUUUGGAUGGGCCCGCGUUGGAUUAGCUAGUUGGUAGGGUAAAAGCCUACCAAGGCGACGAUCCAUAGCUGGUCUGAGAGGAUGAUCAGCCACACUGGGACUGAGACACGGCCCAGACUCCUACGGGAGGCAGCAGUGGGGAAUAUUGGACAAUGGGCGAAAGCCUGAACCAGCAAUGCCGCGAGAGUGAUGAAGGCCUUAGGGUUGUAAAGCUCUUUUACCCGGGAUGAUAAUGACAGUACCGGGAGAAGAAGCUCCGGCUAACUCCGU